AGAGUUGUAACGCUGCCCCUAUAAACUUCGGCAUCACUUCUGCAGCCAUGUCGGUGUUAUUUUUGGUAACGAAAGCAUAUGUUACCGCGACAAACCGCAUGAAUCCGGCCCGUUGUGAAGAUACCCGUCGAGUUGCAUCUGUCUGAGGGCCAAGCAGAAAGGAGCUUGGUUGAGGAUGGAUGGGGUCAGCUGGAGCACCACCCGGGCGCCGGAGUCGUUCAGCCGCUCUGGGGCAACAGCAGACACUCUUUCCAGGCUUGCCAGCUUCAUUGCACGGGCUGACACAAAACCACAAAUGCAAAACAAGAGGCCGCCACCAUCCCAACUGUCCCCAUACGUUUGUCCAGAAUGUGGUGAGUGCUUCCUUUAUGGGGCAGAACUGUUGCAUCACCAGGAACUAAAUCACGCAUUACCCAAGCCUCAUCGGUGUCCCUCCUGUGGGCAGGAGUUCUCCCUGAGGUCGUCCUUGCAGCUACAUAAGUGCAAUCAUGAUGCUCCCCCAUGUGAGGUUUGUCAUGGUUUGUCACAGCUGGGCGCUCCGUGCACUACAUGUACGGCCCUCACCUCAGAUCCUGGCAGGCUACAGGACAACUCCCCUCAACGCCAGACUCACAUGCUGGAUGGUAGCCCUUACGCAUGUGCCCCGUGUGGGAGAGGCUUUAAUCAGAAGCAGGCUCUGCUGCACCAUCAGCAAGCUGGUUGUAGUGAACCACCUUCUCCUUCAGAUUUAGUUGAUGCAAGUAACCUUCCAGAGGAUUCCCCGCCAGUUUCUGAGGAAGACUCUGCCCGCUCUGACUCUUCAGACACCCCUUGGCCCGUCAGCAGAGUGGUUAAUGGUUGUCAGUCCUGUUCCAAAAUGUUCCUCACCGAGGCUGGACUGCAACGCCAUAAACAAACUAACCAUGCAGAGAAGCUGCUGAUGCCUCCUCAGGGGCAAAAGACCAACGCUGCUGGUGGGGAAGCGAGGAGAGGGAGAAGUAACAAGGUGAAUGGAGAUUUAAUUAAAAUGCCAAAAUCAAGUCAGAAACUACUGAACUGUCGCUCUUGUGACAUGGUUUUCACUAGCACCUCUAAACUGUACGUGCACAGAAAAGAGAAACACAGCAGGGAGAAAAUGAUUUUGAGUGAACCAAUGCCAAUCGCCAGAAUUCGCAGGAGAGGAGGAGCUUAUCCAUGUCAGGUCUGCGGAAAAGUCUUCGUCCAUCAUUUGUCACUGAGGGCACAUUACAAACACCAUACAGUCUCAAGUCAGCCUGUAGAAUGUACCACCAAAGACUUAUCAGAAAAUAGACCAAAUAAAGUAAAAAGCAACCCAGCGGAACACAAGAUUGUUAAACCUGGCCGAGGGAGGCCAAGGAAAGUGCCCAGGACCAAGGAAAAGGUUACUAAUCCAGGGAGUUGCUCAGAAGUGCCUAAAGCCGAAGAGGAGGAGGAGGAGGAACUGGAGAGCGAUUUCCCAUGCCCCUCCUGUGCAGAGGUUUUCUCUCUGCAGUCUCAGCUGAGGGAGCAUGUGGAGCUGCACCAGUCCGCCCUGAAGAGGAGGAAGUGUAGUGUCUGCACACACGAGAUGGAUACGUGCAAAUGGCCGGGCUCAAAGCGACAGAGGCUGUACCACUGUGUUCCGUGCCAGCAGGGGUUCACUGCACUGGACUCGUUCCUAGAACACUGUCAGGAGCACCUGCGAGUCAGGGUGGAGGAGGACAGCAUCACUGACAGCUGCACACAUCAGAGCAAAGCCUGACAUCCUGUUUGAAUGCUAGCAGAGAUCCAAUUUUUUGCCUUGAAGAGUUCGAGAGAGAGUGUGAUGAAAUACUGUGGAAAUUCUUGUUGAUUCACCUGUACAUUGAUUAAGCAUUCAGGACGUUUUGGUUUUAAAACCACUUUGUAGGUUUAAUGUCAUCCAUACCAACAUAUCAAGGCUUAAAGAGAAUAUAAUGUUAAAGGACCAUACAAGGCUUUUGCAUGUUUUACAUUUACAAGUGAUUAAAUUAAAAGUAGCCACUCAUUUAGAGUACAGUAUGUAAAUCAAAUUGACGAAGAUACUAAUUUAGGUUGGUAAUUUCACUUUUUCCAGCAUGAAAUGCAUUUUAAAAUGGAUCACUGGUCUGUUUAUGUGAUUGCUAAACAUUCAGAAAAUCGCAUAUUUUAGUAUACAUGAGUAAUCUCAUUUAUGAAACCAAUCACAACAUAAGCAAAUGUUGCCAUUUCUGAAAAGAUCAUUUGUCCCGAACCCGUUGAGCACAAAUAUGAAUCAUUUCAGCUUUAAAACGUAAUGAACACACACUAAACAUGCAGCUCACAGGUCUACUGUAAUGAAUAACCUGUCUAGGAAGUGGUAAUACUUCAAAGAUUGGAGAUAAACAUGCAAAAGCACCUGUAUGCUCCUUUUAAUAUUGUUUGAGUUUGCUAUCUCUACUCUAUUGUACUGUGCCUGCUGCCAGUGUUAUUGUAAGCUCAGGACAUUGCCAAUGCACUGCCACAGAUAUUUUGUUUGCUAGAUACUAUUUUUUACACCAAUCGUCAAGAGUGCUUUAGCUAAGUAAGAUAUAUCUGUAUUUCCUUUGUUUGUUUGUUUUCAUUAGAUUUGGCAAUAAUUUGUCACCAAUUGGUGGGAACUCUGGUGUGUCCCUGGCUGUAUUGUAGUACUACAUGUGAAAUCUUGUUUUGAGGUUCCAACAUGUGUAAGUUGUCUUUAUCUACAGAAUAAACUACAUUUGAAUAGCUGCCAUGGGAAGCCUUUCAUCACAGCCUUUCUUUAUAGCUGAGUUGUACUUGGGUGAUAUUAUCUAUGCAAACCGAUGGACUGAGGGCAGCCUUCAGUGUGUGAUGCUUGAGUGUGCUUUUAUGAAUGAACAAGGAUCAACAUGAUUUUUUUGUUAUAUUCUCAAAGAGGUUUCAGCUACUGUUUUCAAAGUAAUACUGUGAAAAUGUAGAGUGAUUUAAUAGGUUUAAGGCAUCUGCGUUUCAAAUUGUUUUGUAAAUGAGUUUAUGGCUCUUAAUAGACAACAAUUAAAACUGUUCUCAUUCAA